rnacentral:rRNA from 1 species
GUUGAUAAGGUUAAGUGAAUAAGGGCGCACGGUGGAUGCCUUGGCACUAGGAGCCGAUGAAGGACGGGACUAACACCGAUAUGCUUUGGGGAGCUGUACGUAAGCUAUGAUCCAGAGAUUUCCGAAUGGGGGAACCCAGCAUCUUUAAUAGGAUGUUACGAUUGUGUGAAUACAUAGCACAUUCGAGGUAGACGCAGAGAACUGAAACAUCUAAGUACCUGCAGGAAGAGAAAGAAAAUUCGAUUCCCUGAGUAGCGGCGAGCGAAACGGGAAAAGCCCAAACCAACAAGCUUGCUUGUUGGGGUUGUAGGACUCCGAUAUGGUCGUUCUUUCAGAUAGUCGAAUGACUUGGAAAAGUCAGUCAAAGAGGGUAAAAACCCCGUAGACGAAAUGUGGAAGACACCUAGGAGGAUCCUGAGUACGGCGGAACACGAGAAAUUCCGUCGGAAUCCGGGAGGACCAUCUCCCAAGGCUAAAUACUCCCUAGUGACCGAUAGUGAACCAGUACCGUGAGGGAAAGGUGAAAAGCACCCCGGAAGGGGAGUGAAAUAGAACCUGAAACCGUGUGCCUACAACAAGUCAAAGCCCGUUAAUGGGUGAUGGCGUGCCUUUUGUAGAAUGAACCGGCGAGUUACGAUUGCAUGCGAGGUUAAGUUGAAGAGACGGAGCCGCAGCGAAAGCGAGUCUGAAUAGGGCGUUUGAGUAUGUAGUCGUAGACCCGAAACCAUGUGAUCUACCCAUGUCCAGGUUGAAGGUGCGGUAAAACGCACUGGAGGACCGAACCCACGUACGUUGAAAAGUGCGGGGAUGAGGUGUGGGUAGCGGAGAAAUUCCAAACGAACUUGGAGAUAGCUGGUUCUCUCCGAAAUAGCUUUAGGGCUAGCCUCGGAAUUGAGAAUGAUGGAGGUAGAGCACUGUUUGGACUAGGGGCCCAUCUCGGGUUACCGAAUUCAGAU